rnacentral:rRNA from 1 species
GACGAACGCUGGCGGCAGGCUUAACACAUGCAAGUCGAGCGCCCCGCAAGGGGAGCGGCAGUCGGGUGAGUAACGCCGGGGAACGUGCCCUUUGGUUCGUAACAACUCCGGGAAACUGGAGAUAAUACCGGAUAAGCCCCUCGGGGGUAAGAUUUAUCGCCAAAGGAUCGGCCCGCGUCUGAAUAGCGAGUUGGUGAGGUAAUGGCUCACCAAGGCGACGAUCAGUAGCUGGGCUGAGAGGAUGAUCAGCCACACUGGGACGGAGACACGGCACAGACUCCUACGGGAGGCAGCAGUGGGGAAUAUUGGACAAUGGGCGCAAGCCUGAUCCAGCCAUGCCGCGUGAGGGAUGAAGGCCUUAGGGUUGUAAAGCUCUUUUGUCCGGGAAGAUAAUGACUGUACCGGAAGAAUAAGCCCCGGCUAACUUCGUGCCAGCAGCCGCCGUAA